rnacentral:rRNA from 1 species
UGGGGAAUCUUGCACAAUGGGGGAAACCCUGAUGCAGCGACGCCGCGUGAACGAUGAAGCCCUUCGGGGUGUAAAGUUCUUUCGACAGGAACGAUAAUGACGGUACCUGGAGAAGAAGCUGCGGCUAACUACGUGCCAGCAGCCGCGGUAAUACGUAGGCAGCGAGCGUUGUUCGGAGUUACUGGGCGUAAAGAGUGCGUAGGCGGCGAGCCAAGUUUGGUGUGAAAUCUCCCGGCUUAACCGGGAGGGUGCGCCGAAAACUGGUUGGCUGGAGUAUGGGAGGGGAAAGCGGAAUUCCUGGUGUAGCGGUGAAAUGCGUAGAUAUCAGGAGGAACACCUGCGGUGUAGACAGCUUUCUGGACCAAAACUGACGCUGAGGCACGAAAGCGUGGGUAGCAAACA